GACGUAGGGCGCGAGGCGUUGUCCGGAUUUAUUGGGCGUAAAGAGCUCGUAGGCGGCUUGUCGCGUCGUCCGUGAAAACCUGGGGCUCAAACUCCGAGGCUUGCGGGUCGAUACGGGCAGGCUAGAGUUCGGUAGGGGAGACGUGGAAUUCCUGGUGUAGCGGUGAAAUGACGCAGAUAUCAGGAGGAACACCGGUGGCGAAGGCGGGUCUCUGGGCCGAUACUGACGCUGAGGAGCGAAAGCGUGGGGAGCGAACAGG
rnacentral:rRNA from 1 species